CACAACGAAAAUAUGAAGGCUUGCUUCGCGGGGAUGAAAUUUUUUUCACCCAUUGUCUUUUGCGCACUUGUUGUUUCCUGGGCGGGUUCGCCCGCCACCAGGACCACACCAUAAACCUUUUUUAAUGCAGUUGCAAUCAGCGUCAGUAUAAAACAAUGUAAAUAUUA
rnacentral:misc_RNA from 1 species